GGAUGCGAUAAUACCAGCACUAAAGCACCGGAUCCCAUCAGAACUCCGAAGUUAAGCGUGCUUGGGCGAGAGUAGUACUAGGAUGGGUGACCUCCUGGGAGGUCCUCGUGUUGCAUUCC
rnacentral:rRNA from 1 species